ensembl:lncRNA LINC02484 long intergenic non-protein coding RNA 2484
GUUCAGUCUUUAAUAAUGUGAGAAUAAACAGAAUAAAUUAAAAGCACACCAUAUUCUUCUCAGCUUCCUCAGGGGCUUUGUCCAAACAGCUUGAACAACUGCAAAAUAAUAUUCAGGAACCAUGAUAGUGUUUGGUACAUAGAGGACACUGGAAAUGGUUUUCUUAACUGAACAAGUGACUAGAAUAAAGGAAUUAAUGAACGACAUCAGAGCUGAAAUCCCAAACCAUAAAUCAUAAAAGGAUCAGACAGCAAAGAGUACUCAAAAGCUGAUUUAUUGAGAUCCUGAUGAGUUUGAAGUAACUAGAAACUUGAUCAAGUAAGUGUAACAAUAAUAGUAAUAGUCAAAAUAAAACAACAAUCAUAGUUACUUUUAUAUUAACAGUAUUAUGUAGACCAUAUAGGGACUAUUCAAGAGAAAUCUUUGUGCUAACAGAUAUACAGAGAUAUCUAGAUAGCUUAAUAUUGUGAAACUUGAAGAUUUCUCAAUGACAUAAAAACCUGUAGUUUUUCCAAGAAACACCAUUCCCCAAAAAUUUAAUUUGUAAAAUUUGAAUCCUGUCUUUCUACUAAUUUAGCAUAUUUUUGAAAAUUUUCCUUAUUUUUUUUGGUUUCUCUGAUUUAUUAGCCUUACUGCAAUUAUAAAGGAACCCUGGAAUUUUGCUUUAAGCAAAUGUCAUUUAUUUAUCUAUGAGAAAAUGAGUGAAAUGAAUGAAAAACUAUGUUAAAGAUAAGGGGAAACCAAGUGUUUUGUUUUAAAAGUCAAAUGUGGAAUGACUAAAGUAUACAAGUUUUAAUAUAAAAUAGAAAUUUAAUAUGUGCUCCUUCAACGUGAUCUGUGUAAGAUUUUUUGCCAUAAAAUUCUGUCUACUUAGAGAAAAAAAUAAA